UUGUGUCACCCACCACACUGAACUAUUUAUAAUUGUAAAUACCUAAAAUUACACAAACCUUGAUUAUACGUCAAAUAAGCGUUACUAUCGUAACGCUUCAAUCUGUCAAGAUAAUAAAGAAUAAAUCUCUCGUCCACUUUCAUUUGGACCAGCAACGGACACGCAUCGUUUUUUAAUUCAUUUCCAUCAACUGGCGACUAGGUUUUUUUUAUACGAAUAUCGACCGCGUGUGCAGUGAAUAAGUAGUUUUGUGGCAUUGUGGUGCAAUUACUUCAAUACUGUGGUUUUUCGACUGCGAGAAAGCCAAAGCACGCCGAAAACAACCCACGAGGACGGUGAGGCAUAUCAAACGACGAGAACUGAGGGCUGCCUGUGAUAUUUUGCGAAACGCCGAACAGCGCCGACGGUGAAGGCAAAAGGAAAGCAAAUUACCGACAAAUCCGCGGGAGUGGCUUGCUGAAAGACGCUGGAGACGCCGGAUAAACUAGUUUGAGGUAGUUGAUUCCACGAUCGCCGUUCGGUUGAGCAUCAGGAGUGCAGUUUUCCCUUGGCAGCGUUUGUCGCAUACAUCCGCGGAAGUUGGUUGCUAUACGGACGCCGAAUAAUCCCGUAGGAGGCAGCUGAUUUCGUUGUUGCCGUCCGGAGCGACGUUCUGUUGGGCAGCGGAAAAGGGAAAAAUUCGUCGAAAGGUCGGCCUCAGGCAACCGUGGAAGUUACGUGCUACUCAGGAAGGUUUGAUAGUGGUUCGAAUAGUACGGCUUCGGGUCGUUUUCCGGAAGAGGGUGAUUGCGACAAUUGUCGGCACAGGCAAAGGCCUUGGGCGAGAGCCAAUCGUAUCUGUACGGAUAGCAAUUGGAAGCGCUCUCACCAUGGCCCACCGAAGUCAGAUAAGGGGCUACAAGGGGCAAACUCCGCAGGCGAGGCAAAACGUGUGGCUGGGAGUUGGUA